GAUGAAGAACGUAGCGAAAUGCGAUAAGUAAUGUGAAUUGCAGAAUUCAGUGAAUCAUCGAAUCUUUGAACGCACCUUGCGCUCCUUGGUAUUCCGAGGAGCAUGCCUGUUUGAGUGUCAUGAAAUUCUCAACCUUUCUGGCUUUUGCUAGUCAGGCUUGGAUUAUGGGAGCUGCUGGCUUUUGAAGUCGGCUCUUCUAAAAUGUAUUAGCAAGAUCAUUGCUGCUCAUCAUUGGUAUGAUAAUUAUCUAUAUCAUUGAGAGUCAGUUUCCUUUAUUGGAAGAUUUUGCUCCUAACGGUCUGUAGCAAGACAACAUUUGACGAUUUUGACCUCAAAUCAGGUAGGACUACCCGCUGAACUUAAGCAUAUCAAUAAGCGGAGGA
rnacentral:misc_RNA from 1 species